rnacentral:tRNA from 1 species
GAGAGAUGGCUCAGUGGUUAUGAGCACUGAUUGCUCUUGCAGAGGAGCCUGGGUUCAAGUCCCAGCACUCACA